UACGGAGGGUGCAAGCGUUAUCCGGAUUCACUGGGUUUAAAGGGUGCGUAGGCGGGCAGGUAAGUCAGUGGUGAAAUCCUAGAGCUUAACUCUAGAACUGCCAUUGAUACUAUCUGUCUUGAAUAUUGUGGAGGUAAGCGGAAUAUGUCAUGUAGCGGUGAAAUGCUUAGAUAUGACAUAGAACACCAAUUGCGAAGGCAGCUCGCUACACGAAUAUUGACUCUGAGGCACGAAAGCGUGGGGAUCAAACAGG
rnacentral:rRNA from 1 species